rnacentral:snRNA from 1 species
AGCUUUGCACAGUGGCCGUAUCAUAGCCAAUCAGGUUUAUCUGAGGAGUGAUUAUUGCUAAUUGACCAGUCAGGGAGUUUGGAUGAAGACUCCAGUUAGCUUGGGCAGAAAAGUAGUUUAUCAGAGGCAUUAUCUUUUUGUUCAUAAAUGGA